rnacentral:ncRNA from 2 species
CUAUCUUAAUAAGCGUUAUCUAAUAUAAUUUAGCGAUAUGGGCUAUAGUUUCUACCAAUCCCCUUAAAGGAUUGACUAUUAGAUUAAACAAUAAGUAU